rnacentral:rRNA from 1 species
UACGUAGGGUGCAAGCGUUGUCCGGAAUUAUUGGGCGUAAAGAGCUCGUAGGCGGCUUGUCGCGUCGACUGUGAAAACCCAUGGCUCAACCAUGGGCUUGCAGUCGAUACGGGCGGGCUAGAGUUCGGUAGGGGAGACUGGAAUUCCUGGUGUAGCGGUGAAAUGCGCAGAUAUCAGGAGGAACACCGGUGGCGAAGGCGGGUCUCUGGGCAGUAACUGACGCUGAGGAGCGAAAGCGUGGGGGAGCGAACAGG